UCCCUUAUCCGAAGCGAAGGGAAGACAUUCAGGUGUUUCCCUCUGAGGGUCUGAGUAUUCCCAGGUGGCAUGGGUGAUGCUGGCUGUUCCUUUCGAGCUUGGAUCUAACUUCCAGGCUGAAACGCAGUGUGCAGUACAGGACAUCAAGACCCGAGCUAUCUCUGGAGUGACUCUGUUUCUCUUUUAGAGGUGCUAUAGGUGGCUUCAGAGAACGGGUGGAAGCAUCUGCCAUGUGGGGUAGGUAAGCAGCUGAGGUAAAGGAGCAGAUGAGAGUAACUGUCCUAAGGGUGCUGUGGCUUUUGCUGCUGUGGUUGCUUUCUCUUCUGUUUAUCAGGUGCCACAGGCAAGG